rnacentral:tRNA from 1 species
GAGGUUGUGGCUUAGUGAUAGAGCGCUUGCCUAGCAUGCAUGAACUGCUGGGUUCCAUCCUCAGCACCACA